rnacentral:rRNA from 1 species
GCUGGCGGCAUGCCUAACACAUGCAAGUCGAACGGUAACGGACCGCUGGGAUUCCUUCGGGAUGACCUUGGUGCCGACGAGUGGCGGACGGGUGAGUAAUACUUAGGAAUCUGCCCAGUAGUGGGGGACAACAUUCGGAAACGGAUGCUAAUACCGCAUACGCACUACGGUGGAAAGUGGGGGAUCUUCGGACCUCACGCUAUUGGAUGAGCCUAAGUCGGAUUAGCUUGUUGGUGAGGUAAUGGCUCACCAAGGCGACGAUCCGUAGCUGGUCUGAGAGGACGAUCAGCCACACUGGGACUGAGACACGGCCCAGACUCCUACGGGAGGCAGCAGUGGGGAAUAUUGGACAAUGGGCGCAAGCCUGAUCCAGCAAUGCCGCGUGUGUGAAGAAGGCCUGCGGGUUGUAAAGCACUUUCAGUAGAGAAGAAAAGCCUAGGGUUAAUACCCCUGAGUCUUGACGUAACCUACAGAAGAAGCGCCGGCUAACUCCGUG